UAGACAGAACACUCCAUUCAUAAAACUCAAUUUUUUAGAAUCAUACAUGGUUUGGCACUUUUAUGAGAGUUAAAAAGAGAUGGGUACAUAAAUAUGACAACACGGUUGAGUUUCGUCUGUCUUUCUGUCAUUUCACUCCAUCAGUGGCGUGACGGUGGUGUGGUGUUUUUUAUCAAAAAUUUUAAAAUAGUUAUUUUGUGUAUUUUAAUUUAAAUUUUAAUUUGUAAUAUACGUAGUAAUAUCGAUAAUAUACAAUGUAGGGGCGUUUGCACCAAGUUUUUUAAGCAAAACUUAACAUUAUGUUUAGCUUAUUUUCUUGCACUAUGCUUUAAUCUAACUUGAAUUUAUAUUUAAAUUAAGCGGUCAAAUUUCCAGGCUAGUGGCCACUUAACCUAUCUGAGACACAAAAAAUUGUUUUACGAGGAAGAAUUAUUGUUAUUCCUUUGAGAAAGCUAAAAAGUGUAUUAUGAUACCUCUACGUAAGUUCGAUGAUUACUUUUGAUAUCCUAGACGUCGAUCAGUAGGUAUAUUCAUUGAAAAUGGAUUUCCUCAAGAGUGGAUGUAAGGAAAAAUCAUAUUGCCAAGAAAUGAACCUCCUUAAGACCUCUUUUAAACGACACUGUAAUAUAUAUCCUCGGUUUAAUCCUUGUUUAAUUGAACAAAAUCUAGAAUAUCAAAAUGAGAGGUAAGUUGGAAUGCUAGUAAAUCUAAUAAACAACAGCAUAACUGCCUUAAAUCAACAACAAUUUUAUAGUAUAUUUAGUUUUCCUGGGAUUAUAGGGAUAGUUGAUGGAACACAAUGUAAGAAAACAUUCACCUGGGGGUAUUGAUGGAGAGGUAUUUAGAAAUAGAAAAGCAUUAUUUUCCCCAACAUUUAAAUUACUGGAAAUGCUAGUCUUAAAA